rnacentral:rRNA from 1 species
CAAUAGCGUAUAUUAAAGUUGUUGCAGUUAAAAAGCUCGUAGUUGGACUUCAAGAAGCGCAUCUGGGCAACCAGUUUGCCUUCUACCAGCCCUAGGCUGUUACUGUGAGAAAAUUAGAGUGUUUCAAGCAGGCUUUUGCAGGAAUACAUUAGCAUGGAAUAACGAAUGUGUCUACAAUUUGGUUGAUUGUAGGUUACAAUUAAUAGGGACAGUUGGGGGCAUUAGUAUUUAAUAGUCAGAGGUGAAAUUCUUGGAUUUGUUAAAGACUAACGUAUGCGAAAGCAUUUGCCAAGGAUGUUUUCAUUA